GCGGUACACCGCCACUGGCUGGCUGAAGUGCAAAAGAAAGUAGGCUACCCACCACCUGUCAGCUCUGACCAGAACAAGAAUCAAAGCUAAACGUUGUGAGACUACCACGAAGAAUUGAAGAUAGCAAAUGUAAAGAAGACCCACCGAUGCAGUCGAACUUGAAAAUGUUUCAUGGACCUUGAUGGGGGACAGGAGGAUGAGCUUCAAGGCAGGCCUGUAGAGACACGCAUUGCUGCGUGCUUGACUGACAUCUCGGAGUGGAUGGCGACAAACCACCUGAAGCUCAAUCUGGACAAGACAGAGCUGAUGUUCCUCCCAGGGAAAGGUUGCCCGCGUCGAGACCUGGCCAUUACCAUUGACAACACUGUGAUGAUGCCAGAAUCUGGGUGUGAUCCUGGACGACCAACAGUUGUUUGCUGCAAACGUUGCAUCGGUUGCUCGCUCCUGCAGAUUUCUCCUCUGUAACAUCAGGAGGAUUCGCCCAUUCCUCACCGACGAGAUGGCACAGGUGCUCAUCCAGGCUCUGGUCAUCUCCCGGCUGGACUACGGCAACUCCCUCCUUGCUGGCGCCCCGGUGUCGGCCACCAGACCUCUGGAGCUUGUUCAGAAAGCUGCAGCUCAUCUGGUGUUCAACCACCCUAAGUUCUUCCACACAACUCCCCUUCUCAUGUCCCUACACUGGCUCCUAGUAGCUGCUCGCAUCCAGUUUAAGACUCUGGUGCUAGCCUACAGGGCAGUGAAAGGAACAGCUCCUUCCUAUCUCCAGGCCAUGGUCAAGCUCUACACCCCCACCCAACCACUUCGCUCUGCUGCCUUGGGAUGCCUGGUUGCCCCAUUGCUCAGAGGCCCCUGCUGCCAAUCGACCCGGUCACGGCUCUUUUCUGUCCUGGCCCCACAGUGGUGGAAUGAACUCCCCACUGAUGUCAGGACAGCAGAGUCGCUGCCCAUCUUUCGGCACAGGUUGAAAACUCACCUCUUCAAGAACUACUACCCUGUUACUUGUUCUAAGCACUUUUUGUAUUCACUCAUUAAAAAUAAAUAAAUAAAUCUCUUUCUUGCGCUUUUACUUUAGCACUGGUUUUGCUCUUAGAUGCUUGUUUAGAUGCACUUAUGACCUCUGAUGACUAGUAGUUCUCCUGAUUUCCUACAUUAAAUGCACUUAUUGUAAGUUGCUUUGGAUAAAAGCAUCGGCUCAAUGACUGUAAUGUAAUGUAAAAAUGAUGCAUUUCUGAAAGAGACGGCUGUUUUCAUUUGCUCGAUUGUAUGAUUCAAAUAUUGAUGACUUGGGACAUGAACUACAUCAUCCAU